UCCUCAUGGCCCUUAUGACCAGGGCUACACACGUGCUACAAUGGCCGGUACAAAGAGUUGCGAUACCGCGAGGUGGAGCUAAUCUCAUAAAGCCGGUCUCAGUUCGGAUUGGAGUCUGCAACUCGACUCCAUGAAGUUGGAAUCGCUAGUAAUCGCGGAUCAGCACGCCGCGGUGAAUACGUUCCCGGGCCUU
rnacentral:rRNA from 1 species